rnacentral:rRNA from 1 species
GAUGAACGCUGGCGGCGUGCCUAAUACAUGCAAGUCGAGCGAACGGACGAGAAGCUUGCUUCUCUGAUGUUAGCGGCGGACGGGUGAGUAACACGUGGAUAACCUACCUAUAAGACUGGGAUAACUUCGGGAAACCGGAGCUAAUACCGGAUGAUAUUUUGAACCGCAUGGUUCAAAAGUGAAAGACGGUCUUGCUGUCACUUAUAGCUGGAUCCGCGCUGCAUUAGCUAGUUGGUAAGGUAACGGCUUACCAAGGCAACGAUGCAUAGCCGACCUGAGAGGGUGAUCGGCCUCACUGGAACUGAGACACGGUCCAGACUCCUACGGGAGGCAGCAGUAGGGAAUCUUCCGCAAUGGGCGAAAGCCUGACGGAGCAACGCCGCGUGAGUGAUGAAGGUCUUCGGAUCGUAAAACUCUGUUAUUAGGGAAGAACAUAUGUGUAAGUAACUGUGCACAUCUUGACGGUACCUAAUCAGAAAGCCACGGCUAACUACGUG